GACAGAGGGGGCAAGCGUUAUUCGGAAUUAUUGGGCGUAAAGGGCGCGUAGGCGGCUUUGCAAGUGACGGGUGAAAUCCCUCGGCUUAACCGAGGAACUGCCUGUCAAACUGCAUGGCUUGAGACCGGGAGAGGUGAGUGGAAUUCCCAGUGUAGCGGUGAAAUGCGUAGAUAUUGGGAGGAACACCAGUGGCGAAGGCGGCUCACUGGACCGGUACUGACGCUGAUGCGCGAAAGCGUGGGGAGCAAACAGG
rnacentral:rRNA from 1 species